rnacentral:tRNA from 2 species
GGUCCCGUAGCUCAGCUGGAUAGAGCAUCGGUUUCCUAAACCGAGGGUCGCAGGUUCAAGUCCUGCCGGGAUCACCA